rnacentral:rRNA from 1 species
UUAAGCGACUAAGCGUACACGGUGGAUGCCCUGGCAGUCAGAGGCGAUGAAGGACGUGCUAAUCUGCGAUAAGCGUCGGUAAGGUGAUAUGAACCGUUAUAACCGGCGAUUUCCGAAUGGGGAAACCCAGUGUGUUUCGACACACUAUCAUUAACUGAAUCCAUAGGUUAAUGAGGCGAACCGGGGGAACUGAAACAUCUAAGUACCCCGAGGAAAAGAAAUCAACCGAGAUUCCCCCAGUAGCGGCGAGCGAACGGGGAGCAGCCCAGAGCCUGAAUCAGUGUGUGUGUUAGUGGAAGCGUCUGGAAAGGCGCGCGAUACAGGGUGACAGCCCCGUACACAAAAAUGCACAUGCUGUGAGCUCGAUGAGUAGGGCGGGACACGUGGUAUCCUGUCUGAAUAUGGGGGGACCAUCCUCCAAGGCUAAAUACUCCUGACUGACCGAUAGUGAACCAGUACCGUGAGGGAAAGGCGAAAAGAACCCCGGCGAGGGGAGUGAAAAAGAACCUGAAACCGUGUACGUACAAGCAGUGGGAGCACGCUUAGGCGUGUGACUGCGUACCUUUUGUAUAAUGGGUCAGCGACUUAUAUUCUGUAGCAAGGUUAACCGAAUAGGGGAGCCGAAGGGAAACCGAGUCUUAACUGGGCGUUAAGUUGCAGGGUAUAGACCCGAAACCCGGUGAUCUAGCCAUGGGCAGGUUGAAGGUUGGGUAACACUAACUGGAGGACCGAACCGACUAAUGUUGAAAAACUAGCGGAUGACUUGUGGCUGGGGGUGAAAGGCCAAUCAAACCGGGAGAUAGCUGGCUCUCCCCGAAAGCUAUUUAGGUAGCGCCUCGUGAAUUCAUCUCCGGGGGUAGAGCACUGUUUCGGCAAGGGGGUCAUCCCGACUUACCAACCCGAUGCAAACUGCGAAUACCGGAGAAUGUUAUCACGGGAGACACACGGCGGGUGCUAACGUCCGUCGUGAAGAGGGAAACAACCCAGACCGCCAGCUAAGGUCCCAAAGUCAUGGUUAAGUGGGAAACGAUGUGGGAAGGCCCAGACAGCCAGGAUGUUGGCUUAGAAGCAGCCAUCAUUUAAAGAAAGCGUAAUAGCUCACUGGUCGAGUCGGCCUGCGCGGAAGAUGUAACGGGGCUAAACCAUGCACCGAAGCUGCGGCAGCGACACUAUGUGUUGUUGGGUAGGGGAGCGUUCUGUAAGCCUGUGAAGGUGUACUGUGAGGUAUGCUGGAGGUAUCAGAAGUGCGAAUGCUGACAUAAGUAACGAUAAAGCGGGUGAAAAGCCCGCUCGCCGGAAGACCAAGGGUUCCUGUCCAACGUUAAUCGGGGCAGGGUGAGUCGACCCCUAAGGCGAGCCGAAAGGCGUAGUCGAUGGGAAACAGGUUAAUAUUCCUGUACUUGGUGUUACUGCGAAGGGGGGACGGAGAAGGCUAUGUUGGCCGGGCGACGGUUGUCCCGGUUUAAGCGUGUAGGCUGGUUUUCCAGGCAAAUCCGGAAAAUCAAGGCUGAGGCGUGAUGACGAGGCACUACGGUGCUGAAGCAACAAAUGCCCUGCUUCCAGGAAAAGCCUCUAAGCAUCAGGUAACAUCAAAUCGUACCCCAAACCGACACAGGUGGUCAGGUAGAGAAUACCAAGGCGCUUGAGAGAACUCGGGUGAAGGAACUAGGCAAAAUGGUGCCGUAACUUCGGGAGAAGGCACGCUGAUAUGUAGGUGAAGUCCCUCGCGGAUGGAGCUGAAAUCAGUCGAAGAUACCAGCUGGCUGCAACUGUUUAUUAAAAACACAGCACUGUGCAAACACGAAAGUGGACGUAUACGGUGUGACGCCUGCCCGGUGCCGGAAGGUUAAUUGAUGGGGUUAGCCGCAAGGCGAAGCUCUUGAUCGAAGCCCCGGUAAAACGGCGGCCGUAACUAUAACGGUCCUAAGGUAGCGAAAUUCCUUGUCGGGUAAGUUCCGACCUGCACGAAUGGCGUAAUGAUGGCCAGGCUGUCUCCACCCGAGACUCAGUGAAAUUGAACUCGCUGUGAAGAUGCAGUGUACCCGCGGCAAGACGGAAAGACCCCGUGAACCUUUACUAUAGCUUGACACUGAACAUUGAGCCUUGAUGUGUAGGAUAGGUGGGAGGCUUUGAAGUGUGGACGCCAGUCUGCAUGGAGCCGACCUUGAAAUACCACCCUUUAAUGUUUGAUGUUCUAACGUUGACCCGUAAUCCGGGUUGCGGACAGUGUCUGGUGGGUAGUUUGACUGGGGCGGUCUCCUCCUAAAGAGUAACGGAGGAGCACGAAGGUUGGCUAAUCCUGGUCGGACAUCAGGAGGUUAGUGCAAUGGCAUAAGCCAGCUUGACUGCGAGCGUGACGGCGCGAGCAGGUGCGAAAGCAGGUCAUAGUGAUCCGGUGGUUCUGAAUGGAAGGGCCAUCGCUCAACGGAUAAAAGGUACUCCGGGGAUAACAGGCUGAUACCGCCCAAGAGUUCAUAUCGACGGCGGUGUUUGGCACCUCGAUGUCGGCUCAUCACAUCCUGGGGCUGAAGUAGGUCCCAAGGGUAUGGCUGUUCGCCAUUUAAAGUGGUACGCGAGCUGGGUUUAGAACGUCGUGAGACAGUUCGGUCCCUAUCUGCCGUGGGCGCUGGAGAACUGAGGGGGGCUGCUCCUAGUACGAGAGGACCGGAGUGGACGCAUCACUGGUGUUCGGGUUGUCAUGCCAAUGGCACUGCCCGGUAGCUAAAUGCGGAAGAGAUAAGUGCUGAAAGCAUCUAAGCACGAAACUUGCCCCGAGAUGAGUUCUCCCUGACUCCUUGAGAGUCCUGAAGGAACGUUGAAGACGACGACGUUGAUAGGCCGGGUGUGUAAGCGCAGCGAUGCGUUGAGCUAACCGGUACUAAUGAACCGUGAGGCUUAACCUU